rnacentral:ncRNA from 1 species
GGUCCCAGCCUUGAAAUCAAUUAUUACUUUAUUUAUACAUGCAAGUUUCCGCACCCCUGUGAAAACGCCCUUUAAUUUCCCCUAGAAACAAGGAGCUGGUAUCAGGCUCAAUUUAUUAGCCCAAGACACCUAGCUAUGCCACACCCACAAGGGUAAUCAGCAGUAAUCAACAUUGAACAUAAGCGCCAGCUUGAUUCAGUUAAAGUAAAAAGGGCAGGCAAAUACGGUGCCAGCUGCCGCGGUUAUACCAUGAGGCCCGAAUUGACUUCUGUCGGCGUAAAGCGUGAUUUAAGUAUUUUAUAACUGCAAUUAAACUACUAUUAAGUUGUGACAAACUUAUAUUUAAGGAAAUCCAAAAACGAAAGUUACUGCACCCAAAUCAACUUGAACUCACUACAGCUAAGACACAAACUGGGAUUAGAGACCCCACUAUGCUUAGCCUUAAGCCUUUAAUUACACCCUAAACGCCAGGGAACUACGAGCAAAGCUUAAAACCCAAGGGACUUGACGGUACCCCAUAUCCCCCUAGAGGAGCCUGUCCUAUAAUCGAUAACCCCCGUUCAACCUCACCACCUUUAGCCUAUCAGUCUGUAUACCUCCGUCGUCAGCUUACCGCAUGAGUGCCUCAAAGUAAGCUUAAUGUCCUUAUCGUCAAUACGUCAGGUCAAGGUGCAGCUAAUAAGAUGGGAAGAGAUGGGCUACACUCUCUAAUAUAGAGUACACAGAGAACUAAUAUGAAACCCAGUUCAAAGGCGGAUUUAGUAGUAAUAGGGGUAAUAGAGCCCCUUUUAAUUCGGCCCUGGGGUGUGUACACACCGCCCGUCACCCUCCUCGUAGCUAUUACAAAAGUAUUUUACAAAACCUAACAUUAUAGAGGAGGUAAGUCGUAACAUGGUAAGUGCACCGGAAGGUACGCUUGGAAA